rnacentral:lncRNA from 1 species
GGUGGCUUCUGUUCUCCCUGGACUCUUGGGCAUCUGAGGCCCACUUACCCCGCCCCGUAGGCCACUGCGUGCUGUGAUUUGGUCACACCGCAGGCCUUAUGAUACAACAGGUCUUUUGUCACUGGAUACAGUGGAUGCCAGAUGAGGUUUCUGAAGGGGAGGGCUGCUGCUCUUCAGUUCAGUUUUACGCUCCCAGUGAGGGGGAACCAUCUCUGUUAUUUGACACCUCGUAUUUCUUACAAAUCUAAUUGUUUCUACUCUUAGAAAUAGAAUCUAACCAAUGCAACUCUGAUCAUUAUGUGCUGUGCUGUGGAAAGGAAAGAUUUUUUUAAAAAUCAACUGGGAAAGGUUCAGGAAGUAAAACUAGGAAGAGAAACUUUUUGUCCUAAGGGAAUAAAACUAAGACUAACUUAAGGAAAAUUGUGCCUUGUGUAUUGGUGGCACGGCUGGCUCAUUUAUGCAGGUGGUAGUAAAUUGUGUGUAGUUAGUAUAGUUUUCCUUGCAGAAAAACAUGGGCACCGUAUUGGGUUUCUCUUGUUCCCAGCCUGGGGUUUUGUCCUCACAUUGUACAGUAUCCAUUCUGAACGGACACACCUGGCAUUCCCAGGUGUUUCUGAGAGACACAGGCCUUGACUCUGAGUGAGUCCUUGUGAGUGGAUAUGGCUGUCAGUGCACUGAGAACAACACUUCUUGCCUCUCAGGAUCUUGAAGCAAGAGCACCCCGAGUUGGCAGUCCUGGCAGACUCGGUUGACCUUCAGGAGUCCACAGGGAUAGCUUCCGACAGCUCCAGCGACUCUUCCAGCUCCUCCAGCUCCAGUUCGUCAGACUCCGACUCAGAGUGCGAGUCUGGAUCCGAGGGCGAUGGGACAGUGCACCGCAGGAAGAAGAGGAGGACGUGCAGCAUGGUGGGAAACGGGGACACCACCUCCCAGGACGACUGUGUCAGCAAAGAGCGCAGCUCCUCCAGGUGACCCAGCAAGGCUGUUGUCUGUAUGGAAGGACACGCUCGCGGCGAGGGCAGGGCCUGGGGAGGGUGGCCUGUCCAGUCCUGCAGACAAGGGGAGGCCUGACAGAGCCCAAGAAUGAGGACACCCUCGGCACGGGAACCCAUUCACUUAGCGUUUGCUCCAGUAGCUUUCCCUCUGCUACCGAUGCAGAUAAACGCGGCUUGUUUUACUCAGAAAGGCAAGAGAAUGUGAAUAAUGCCAAGAAAACCCUUUACAUUAUUUAAUAAAAAUUGAAUCCAUUUUCUAUCUUGGAAAUGUUUUCCUUUGAGAAUACCAGAACAUUCCCUUAUUGCUCUUCUCCUCAUGGUGGUCUUGGGGGAAAGCGUGACUCCUGCUGUGCAUCCUGGACCGCAGAAUCGUCGUCCCAGCAGCGUAGGGAGAGCCGUUGGAAAAGUCACCCGGCAUCUUCUGCAGAACCUGAGGCGUGGCCUCUUGCUUUUUCUCCCAGUUUGCCGUUCCUGCUUGAGUGCUCA